rnacentral:rRNA from 1 species
AGUGAACGCUGGCGGUAGGCCUAACACAUGCAAGUCGAACGGCAGCACAGUAAGAGCUUGCUCUUACGGGUGGCGAGUGGCGGACGGGUGAGGAGUACAUCGGAAUCUACUUUUUCGUGGGGGAUAACGUAGGGAAACUUACGCUAAUACCGCAUACGACCUACGGGUGAAAGCAGGGGAUCUUCGGACCUUGCGCGAUUGAAUGAGCCGAUGUCGGAUUAGCUAGUUGGCGGGGUAAAGGCCCACCAAGGCGACGAUCCGUAGCUGGUCUGAGAGGAUGAUCAGCCACACUGGAACUGAGACACGGUCCAGACUCCUACGGGAGGCAGCAGUGGGGAAUAUUGGACAAUGGGCGCAAGCCUGAUCCAGCCAUACCGCGUGGGUGAAGAAGGCCUUCGGGCUGUAAAGCCCUUUUGUUGGGAAAGAAAAGCAGCAGGUUAAUACCCCGCUGUUCUGACGGUACCCAAAGAAUAAGCACCGGCUAACUUCGUG